ensembl:lncRNA
GGGCCGGGGCUGAGCCGCCCGGGAGGAGGCUGCUCGGGGCGGUCGCGGUCCCCGCCGCCUGCGACCGACGGGAGAGGCGCACUGCUCGCCCUCUGCCCGGCUCUUAACUUAUUUAUAGCCGGCGGCUGGGUGUGCGUGUGCUUGUCAUGUCCUGAAGUGAGUAUUUCCUCCUCAUCUUAGAUCUCCACUUCUCUGAGACCCAUCUCGUCAGUGUGACAUAUGGACUCCGAAACAAGAAAAUAACUAUACCAGGCCUUGAUGUUUACACAGGAGGGAUAGAGGAAUAGUGAAUGUCAAAAUGUGGUUUUACUCUUGAAUGAAAAACUCAUUUACUUUCUUAGUUGGACUAACUAAAACUGGGUGCAGCAGAGAACAGUACUUACUCAAUACAGCAUUCCUAAUGGCACUACUGCCUCCUUCCUCAACUUGCAAUGGAUUCCUUGGGUGGAACAAACUGAGAUCCUGACUGAUUCUGCCUGAGCCAAAGACAGCUGAUCAGUACUAAUCAAGGGAUGCUGAAUGAAUUUAUAGAGCUUUUACGGCUGCCCUAAGGCUGUGAUUUGACUGUUGUUACUGUAUUCGACCACCAGCUCACCUAGCAGGAUUUGUUUGUUAUGGAUUAGGAUGAGCAUGCGGUUAUAUUCUUAUGGAAAUAGCUGGACUGCAUAAUAACAUACAGUUUUAGACCUUUACACCAAGUGCUUGAAAGUAGUUGAUACCUAAUCCAGUAGAAUGAUGCAAAAGCAGCCAUUCAAUAUAUCUUAAACAAAUUUAAAUCUUCAAAAGGUAUUUUUAUAUUUAUUUUUU